AUUGAACGCUGGCGGCAGGCCUAACACAUGCAAGUCGAGCGACCGGCGGACGGGUGAGUAAUGUCUGGGAAACUGCCUGAUGGAGGGGGAUAACUACUGGAAACGGUAGCUAAUACCGCAUACCAUCAGAUGUGCCCAGAUGGGAUUAGCUAUUAGGGGGGGUAAUGGCUCACCUAGGCGCCGAUCCCUAGCUGGUCUGAGGGGAGGACCAGCCACACUGGAACUGGGAAACGGUCCAGACUCCUACGGGGGGAGGCAGUGGGGAAUUGUGGACAAGGGGCGCAAGCCUGAUGCGGCCAGGCCGCGUGUGUGAAGAGGGCCUUCGGGUGGAAAAGCACUUUCAUCGAGGAGGCGUUACUCGCAGAGGAAGCACCGGCUAACUCCGUGCCAGCAGCCGCGGUAAUUC
rnacentral:rRNA from 1 species